rnacentral:snoRNA from 1 species
CUACGUGAUGAUAGCCUAUCAGACCUGUUCCGAGUUUUGCUUUGAGGAUAAACCGAUAUUGCCUUUUAUUUCUGAUC